CACCCUUCAGAGAGACAGGAGAGGAGUGGUGUUUUGGUUCCUUAACUCCACCAGGAGGAGUGGUGGAGCGCCCUUCAGAGAGACAGGAGAGGAGUGGUGUUUUGGUUCCUUUACUCCACCAGGAGGAAAGGUGGAGCGCCCUUCAGAGAGACAGGAGAGGAGUGGUGUUUUGGUUCCUUAACUCCACCAGGAGGAGUGGUGGAGCACCCUUCAGAGAGACAGGAGAGGAGUGGUGUUUUGGUUCCUUUACUCCACCAGGAGGAGAGGUGGAGCGCCCUUCAGAGAGACAGGAGAGGAGUGGUGUUUUGGUUCCUUUACUCCACCCUUCAGAGAGACAGGAGAGGAGUGGUGUUUUGGUUCCUUAACUCCACCAGGAGGAGUGGUGGAGCACCCUUCAGAGAGACAGGAGAGGAGUGGUGUUUUGGUUCCUUAACUCCACCAGGAGGAGAGGUGGAGCACCCUUCAGAGAGACAGGAGAGGAGUGGUGUUUUGGUUCCUUUACUCCACCCUUCAGAGAGACAGGAGAGGAGUGGUGUUUUGGUUCCUUUACUCCACCAGGAGGAGAGGUGGAGCGCCCAUCAGAGAGAUAGGAGAGGAGUGGUGUUUUGGUUCCUUAACUCCACUAGGAGGAGUGGUGCAGACUGCAGGCUGCUGGCUGUGUUCCU
rnacentral:lncRNA from 1 species